UUUCGUACCAAAUACAAAUAACGAAUACUCGCGGGGCACACGCAGCAGGCCGAGGAGACCCAACUCCCCGCUCAGUCAACUUGCGGGGUCUAGUGUCUUAACAUCUCGCGUGCGAUGAGCCUCGUCGCCUUCGCGUAGCAAACGGGACCCGCGCGCGCGACUUUACGACGACGACGACUGUUUUAUUUUUCCGUUGAUUCGCGUUUAUUUCGGAUAUCUUGCUCCAAUUUCGAAGCGAUAAUACUGCGGACGAGUGACAAUAAGCGCUGACGAUGGGGUUAGGCGAACCCCAGCAUAGACUGUUCCUGUGCGCCGGACUUUUACUCUUUCUCGUUGUGCUCCUGCAGGGCCCGCAAGGCCUCAAUGCUCAUCUUCAGAAUGAAGAUGAUAUAACAUUCGACGGUGCACACCAUGCCAGAUCAAGCAGAUCACUACCCUAUGUAAAUAGUAAAUCUAGUCAAGAAGCAGACCACGAUCAUUGGUUCACCAAGUCGAUUCAUCGAAUUAAACGAGGAUUGUUUGAUUUUUUUGACACCAUCACUACUACCACACCGGAGCCAGACAUCGAUAACUCACUGGAUGGACAAUCGCAGAAGUUCGUUGAAGGUGACUCGAAUGAAAAGUUAGAGUCUCGAGAGAAUGAGAAUGAGGACUAUGAUGUACUCGCGCUUGAUAGCAGCAAUAAAAACUAUCAUGAAAGUCCAACAGGGGGUGCAUUUGAUGAUGAUGAAGACAACUUUGACAACUCCGGUCAUCAUUCUGGUGAACAAGACACAGAUUACAAUGAACCUAAACAUCCAGCAUAUUAUAGAAUACGUUUCACAUUGAUGGAACCCUUCAGUGAACAUAUGAGUCCAGAAGAAUAUAAAAGACUAUCAGAGCAGAUUGUUGACAAUGUUGAUCAACUCUACAAAAAUUUCGAAGGCAAUCAAACAUCAUCUGUUGUUAAAAUUCAGGGACGUAAAGAAGAUUUAUUCUCUUCGUUGGUCACAGUUGACCUUCAGAGUGAACAUUUCAACAAUGGGCAUGCAUUACGGCGUAAAUUCGAAGAUCAAAUUAACAAUUUUAAUGCAAUUGGUAGUUUGCCUGUGAAAUCAGACGAUUUUCAAUUCCAGGAGUUUGAAGGCAAACCACCUAAGUUAUGUGCAUACAAUGAAAUCGAAUGCAAAGAUGGUAAUUGUGUACCAAUUGAAGCACGUUGCAAUUCUGUCAAUGAUUGUUCAGAUGGCACUGAUGAGGAAAAUUGUUUCGAAGAUGAUCCAGUCGAAGUAGACUUUACCGUACCGACAACUACCACUGCGUCGUCGGCAGUGCCGCCGUCCGCCAACAGAUGUCGCGCCGAUGACGCAAUCCAGUGCGAAAACUCCGUUGUGUCUAUUUGCGCUGAUCAAGAAUGUGACGGUCAAAAAGAUUGCCCCGACGGCGAAGACGAGGAUGAUAUCAAAUGCGGUUUCACGAAACCAUGUGCUGUUGGUGAACUCUCCUGCGAUAUUAGCCGCUGCAUUCCGGAAAGUCAACGCUGCGAUGGCCACUACGACUGUCAAGAUAAGACGGAUGAACAAAACUGUCCAGCGAAAGCAUGCCAAUCCGGACAAUUUAGAUGUGACAACGGUCAAUGUAUCGAUAAUAGCCGCCGUUGUGAUCACAGGGCGGACUGCGAAAGAGGCGAGGACGAGUACGGUUGUCAAACAACAUCUCAUCUAAAAUGUAAUCGCACAGAAUUUCAAUGCGGGGACGGCAUGUGCAUACCGCAAGCGCAACGAUGCGAUUCACGUCCGGAUUGCAAUGACGGCGCUGACGAACGAAAUUGCCCGUGCCCGCCUAAUCACUUUGUCUGUGACAAUGGCGCGUGCAUUCGAGGACAUCUACGCUGCGACGGAAGGAGUAACUGUCAAGACCGCAGCGACGAACGAAAUUGCGAAAAUUAUAACCGAACGAUUGUGCAAACAUUAGCGCCCGGGCAUUGCCAACAUCAUCAAAAACCCUGCCGUGAUGGCACAUGCAUUGAUCAAAUCUUAUUCUGCAACGGGAGAAAUGACUGUGCGGACAAGUCCGACGAGUUGAAUUGUUGCUCGAGCGAUCAGUUCCGCUGUAGCAACGGCACGUGUCUUAACUUGGAUAAACAGUGUAAUGGUGUACAAGAUUGUGAGCACAACGAAGACGAAGAGAACUGCGGGAAAUGUCCUGAUGGCAUGUUUCGUUGCUCGAACGGGGAUUGCAUUGAAUCGGUUUACUGUUGUGAUGGGGAGAAGGAUUGUAAAGAUGGUAGCGAUGAGGAUCCUGCUAAGUGUCGCGACACCUAUCUGAAAUGCAUGUACGAUAAGGAGUUCCGAUGUUGGAAUAACGAAAAAUGCAUACCACUAACCGAACAAUGUGAUGGUCAAUACGAUUGCGCUGACCAUUCAGACGAAGAGCAAUGCAAAGAAAUUUCGGGAGUUGCCCUUGCGCCGCCCGCAAAUAUAUUUAACCCAGACGGUACAGGUGGAUGUGCCGAGUCCGAAUUUGAAUGCGCCGCAGGAUACUGCAUCGAAGAUUAUAAACGAUGCAACCAGAUUAAGGACUGUCCAAGUGGCAAUGACGAACUUGAUUGUACUUAUGAACCGGAGCCUAGCGAAGUCUGUGCUGGAGAAAAUCAUUUCUUGUGCAAUAACGGCCAGUGUAUAGAGAAAAUCUAUCGUUGCGAUAAUUACACUGAUUGCAUUGAUGGUUCCGACGAGAACAACUGUGAAGCGUGCAAGUUCACGUGUCACGACGGCACCUGCGUGAACAAUGCGGUCGUCUGCGAUGGCAUAUUCGAUUGCAUUGACGGCACCGAUGAGACGAACUGCGGGGUGUGCGCUCCGAGUCAGUUCAAAUGCAACACGGGCGAUUGCAUUCCGGACACACAGCGUUGUGAUCGACGUGUGGACUGCAGUGAUGGCUCAGAUGAGCAUGGAUGUGUCCAUCAUUGCCCGCAUGGUCAAUUCCGAUGUGAAAAUGGGCUGUGCUUGAACUCGAAAGUUGUUUGCGAUGGACAUCGAGAUUGUGCGGACGGCUCCGAUGAACGUUCAUGUCAUGCUACAUGUGGUGAUGAUGAAUUUGAAUGUGAUGAUAAGACCUGUAUCAAUAUAUCGAACCAGUGUGAUGGUCACAGCGAUUGCCCGGAUAGUUCCGAUGAACGUGGUUGUCAAUUAGAGUGUGAAGCAGACGAAUUCCAAUGCGAAGAUAACGAAUGCAUACCACUGGAUAGAAAGUGUGAUGGUCGUAGGGAUUGUAACAACGGUUUGGAUGAAUAUGAUUGUCCAGUGAUUAAUCCACCAUGUCCAGCUGGUAGCCAUCGAUGCUCGGAUGGUACCUGUAUUCAUCAAUCCAAGGUCUGCAAUGGUUACCAGGACUGUCGUGAUGGUUCCGAUGAGCAGAGUUGUGGUGGUUGUGCCCCCCAUCAGUUCGAGUGCCGAGAUGGCGAUUGUAUUCCGGCCCAUUUGCAUUGCAACGGCCGCCCGGAGUGCAGAGACGGCUCUGAUGAACACCAAUGUCCCACUCGUCCACCAGUCUUGGAUCCGGAGGAUCCAUACCGACCACCGACACAACAUCAUUGUCCACCUGGAUACCGGUCUUGUCGUAGCAGCCGCCAUUGUUAUCCUGACGCGAAGUACUGCGACAGUCGCGUGGAUUGCCCGGACGCAUCUGAUGAAGACAACUGUGUCGAAGAACCAAAGUGCACCCGUGAUGAGUUCCGUUGUGAAAAUGGGCCGUGUAUAGCUAAAUCUUUAGUGUGCAAUGGCCGCGUUGAUUGUCCGUUGGACAGAAGUGACGAAGCUGAUUGUCCUGACUUUUUCUACAAUGAUACCACCAAUGGUCUUGCCUUAAGGACAUACCCAAGUCAACAGGAAAUCAAAGAAAGCAAUUAUAGAAUUGGUCGUGAGGUUGUGUUCCAAUGCCGUGACGAGGGACCCAUGCGCGCCAAGGUUCGUUGGACGCGCGGCAACGGACUUCCUCUGCCGCCAGGAUCCCGGGACGUAAACGGACGCUUGGAAAUGCCCAACAUUCAGCGCAACCAUAGCGGAGCGUACAUUUGUUCCGCCAUUGGUAUACCAGCUCAUACUCCCGGUGCGCAGAUUCAAGUGCAUCUAGAGGUCAAUCCUUCGUGGAGGCAUGGAUUUGUAAAAUAUGGUGUUUUACCACAGAUUGAGACAGAGUAUCAUGGCACAGCCUGCGGUUUGUACCAAGCCACUUGUGCGAACGGCGAAUGCAUCGACAAACAUCUCGUCUGCAACGGCCGCGAAGAUUGCUCGGACGGAUCGGAUGAAACCAGAUGCAAUCCACAUGGAUGCGAACCGAACGAAUUCCGUUGCCCGAACAAACGCUGCAUUCUCAAGACGUGGGUGUGCGACUCCGAAGACGACUGUGGCGAUAAUGGCGACGAAAUGAAUUGCGGUGUUCGGGAACCUGGCCAAGCUUGCAGUCCCGUGCAAUAUGCGUGCAAGUCUGGUAAUCAAUGCAUACCGAAGAGUUUCCAUUGUGAUUUGCACAACGACUGCAAUGACGGCAGUGACGAAAUCGGUUGCAUGCCCGUGAAUAUCAUGCGUCCACCACCACCGAUGAUGCACUUGGAAAUCGGUCAGACAUUCCAGAUUACUUGCACGGCUGUGGGUAUUCCGGUGCCAGAGAUUAUCUGGCGCUUGAAUUGGGGACAUAUUCCUGAAAAGUGUCGCACGACUAGCGUCAAUGGCGUGGGUACAUUGAUUUGCGCGGAUAUUCAGGAAUCUGAUCAAGGCGCCUAUUCCUGUGAGGGUAUUAACAUCAAGGGAUCGGUUCUUGCGGUGCCGGAUACUAUCCUGGUGGUUAACCCACCGACCGGUGUUUGCACGAAGGGAUUCUUCAACUCGGAAGCGCGCAGUCCCAGCGAAUGCAUUGCAUGUUUCUGUUUCGGCGUGACCAGCGAAUGUUCAUCUGCUAACUUAUUCACGUAUCAUCUACCGCCACCUUUCGAUGCGCACAAGGCGCUUGGAGUUCGAAUCGACCCACAUUCUGGUGUGGUUGAUGUCCGGGACGAGCCGAUUUACAAAGGUGCUGAACCACGACUUACACCCGUACCCGGUUUGAAUGGUGUUCACGCGCAGCUUCCACGCGGAGAAUUGUUACAACCGAAUGUUAUUCCUUAUUUUGCGCUGCCCGAAAAUUACCACGGCAAUCAAUUGAAGAGUUAUGGCGGGUAUUUGAAGUAUCAAUUACUGUAUGAAGGCAAUGGUAGGCCUAUCACCGCACCAAAUGUUAUUUUAAUUGGUAAUGGAUACACCUUGUUGUACAUUGGUGAACAAUAUCAUGCGGGUACUCGUGCUGAAGUUAUUGUUCGAUUCUUCUUUGGCGAAUGGGUAAAGCGAUCUGAGUCUAGACCAGAAACAUUGGCAACUCGCGAGGAAAUCAUGAUGGCCCUGGCAUCGGUUGAGAAUAUUCUAAUCAAAUUGCAAUAUAUUGAAGGACAUUUAGAUACGAACAUUAAUAAAAUUGAAAUGGAUUCUGCGGCAGUUAGGAAUACAGAUUUAGGUAAAGCAACGUUCGUGGAAGAGUGUGCUUGUCCGACUGGACAUAGUGGUUUGUCUUGUGAGACUUGUGAUGCUGGAUACUCUCGUCAUCGCAACGGUCCAUGGCUUGGACAGUGCUACAAAGAAGUGGAAACAUGUCCAUCCGGUUAUUAUGGUGAUCCUUCAAGAGGAAUCGCAUGUCAAGUUUGUCCCUGCCCACUGACCGAUCCACGCAACCAAUUCGCUUCAACUUGUUCCCUGGACACUGACGGUCAAGUAACAUGUAAUUGUCCCCCGGAGUAUAUGGGACGACGAUGCGAACAUUGCGCUCAUGGCUACACUGGAAAUCCAUUACUUGCCGGUGAUUCCUGUAAACCAGCUACGAGUCGCUGCAGUGCUGAAGGGUCAACUGGAGUGGACGCGUAUGGACAAUGUCAAUGCAAGAUCAACACAAUGGGCCGAACUUGUAACAAUUGCAAGAAUAAUACUUUCCACCUCGCCAGCGAGAAUCAAUUCGGAUGCAUCUCAUGUUUCUGCAUGGGGAUCACCGAACAAUGCAUCAGUUCAAAUUGGUACAGAGAUAGCAUUAACGCUGCGUUCACUCGAUCCAAGCAAGAAUUUAAACUUGUUGAAUCAAACCACAUCAACACGCAUAUUGAGGACGGAAUUAUCUUGGAUACAAAUGCGAGAGAAAUUAUAUACAAUAACUUCAGGCGUCCGGACGUUUACUACUGGUCGUUACCGUCAAGGUUCCUCGGUAAUAAGAUAACAUCCUAUGGUGGAAACUUGAGAUACAGUUUGCGUUAUGUACCAACUCCUGGUGGCCUUAGCUCAAAGAACAAUGCGCCUGAUGUUGAACUUAUCAGUUCCAAUCACAUUACAUUGACUUAUUUUGCCCGAGAACAACCCCCGCCGAAUACGGUGCAAACAUUGACUGUGCCUCUACUGGAACAAUACUGGCAGCGCUCUGAUGGCCAAAAGAUUGACCGCGAACACCUAAUGAUGGCUCUAGCUGAUGUUGAAGCCAUUUUGAUUAAAGCAACUUAUACAACGAGCACACGCGAAGCUGCGCUACAAUCAGUGAGUUUGGAUAUUGCAGAUGAACGGAAUACCGGAAGAGAAAAAGCAAUGUCAGUUGAACAAUGUUAUUGUCCAACUGGUUACAAGGGAUUAUCGUGUGAAGACUGCGAAGUUGGUUACACUCGUGCCAUCGGUGGUAUUUACCUAGGUACCUGUGAAGUUUGUCAAUGCAAUGGUUUAUCGAACGAAUGCGAUCCGGAAACCGGCGAAUGCUACAACUGCAGAGAUUCCACAACCGGACCUAACUGUGACACGUGCCUUCCUGGUUACGAAGGAGAUCCAUCAAAUAGAGUUCCAUGCAGAUUUAUUGGCGGUGGUGGUCAAACUUCAGAAGCGUGCAGAUGCAAUCCCGAUGGUUCUAUUUCUAACGAUUGCUUCGGUGGUGUGUGCCAGUGUAAAACUAACGUAGAAGGUCCUAACUGUGAUCGAUGCCGAGAGGGUACUUUUGGUUUGAACGGAUCUGUCGCUGAGGGUUGUCAGUCCUGUUUCUGUUCGGGUGUUGUUUCUGACUGUAGAGAGAGCAACUUGUACAUCACUCAAAUACCGAUUCAGAUUCUCGAUGACGACAGUCAUGGUAUUACAUUAACUGAUUCGGCUCAAACUGAACGGAUUUCUAAUUCGUUUGAGUUGAACAUUCAGUCCAACGAAAUUGGUUUUACAUUUAGACCAAGCAUGAAUCAGCGCUUGAUGUGGUCAUUGCCGAGGCAAUUCACUGGCUCAAAAAUUACAUCUUACGGAGGAAAAUUAGAGUUUAUUCAAAGGUAUACUCAACGACCGGAUGCUUACUACAUUAGGGACCAAGAUGUCAUCAUUAAUGGACAUGGUAUUAGUAUCUUCUGGACCAAUCCAAGACAAUUACAACCUAAUUUUGCCAAUAAAGUCUCGGUUACUUUGAGUCCCAGUGCAAACUGGCAAAGACUUGAUCAUCGAUCUGCACCGAAACCAGCUUCCAGGGAGGACAUUCUGAAAGUGUUAGCGAAUGUGAACUCAAUUCUUAUUCGGGCGCGUUUAUCAUCUGACACUGCUAGUUCUUUCAUUAGCGAUGUUACAUUAGAUACAACUUUCGAUCAGAACACAGGUCAACCAAAAGCUACAAAUGUAGAAGUUUGCAGCUGUCCACGCCAUUAUAGCGGAACAUCUUGCGAAUCUUGCGCUUUGGGUUACUACAGAGACUUCAACGACUUGGGAUCGGGACCUUUGGGCUCAUGCAACAAGUGUCCGUGCAACGACAACGAUCGUUCCUGUCACUACGAUUACGAAUCAGCCAGCGUUGUCUGUGAAUGCCGUGAAGGAUUCAGCGGGCGACAAUGCGAGCAUUAUAUAACCUCUACUGAAAGGCCACCAAUAGAUCCGAAUCCAAAUAUUCCUACGAUUACAGUACAAAUCAGUCAACCAAGUUUGAUUAUUCAGGAAGUGGGACAGUCUGUAACGUAUACUUGCUCCGCUAGCUCCACUGUGAACAACGAUGUCAGGCUCAAUUGGAGCCGGGCCCACGGAAAUCUACCCAAUCGAGCAAUUGAUGACAGGCGUGGUCGUUUGGUAAUCACGAAUCUUCAAGUGAGCGAUUCCGGAACCUACAUUUGCCAAGCCGACGAUAAUGUAUCCAUUGUUGAAGAGCGUGUUAACUUGGUUGUUGGUGCUUUUCCGAAGAGUUUAGUUAACGUUCCAGGAAACUCUCCUACGUCUCCACAAGCAAUGGUCUAUCCACAAUAUUUGAACAUCACGGAAGGGGAACCGAUUGAAGUUCGUUGCCAAGCAACCGGCAAUCCGGAGCCAUCUUUGGAAUGGAUUAAACUUACCCGAGACAUUCUUAGCCCGCACACAUUCCACAAUGGAAUCUUCCGCAUCGAUAGAGCAAUGAAGUACGAUGAAGGCGAGUAUGAGUGUGUGGCCAAGAAUAAUUUAGGAACGCAUUCAGCGAGAGCGAGGAUUGUCGUGAAGAGCAGUCUGGAACCAUCCAUUCAACCGAUUAUUACCCCCAGCAGUUACUACGGCAGUGCUGGUGAAUCCUUCACCCUACAUUGUGAAGCAGGUGGUGCCGCCCGAGGUGGUAUCACAUGGUCAAAGGAACGCGGGCAGAUUCCCUACAAUCACCGAGAUGAACACGGUUUGCUUAUUGUCAAUAAUGCACAGCCAGAAGACUCUGGAAUUUAUAUUUGCAAUGGCGUCACGGAAUUUGGAGCAGUGGGACGCGCAUACGCCAAUGUAACGAUUGUACACAGAAGCAACUCAUUUCCGCCGACCGUCUCCAUUGCUCAAAGCAACGAACACGUGAAUCAAGGAACUAAUAUUGAAGUAACUUGUGAGUUUACUGGAUCACCCACGCCUACCGUCAAAUGGACCAAGGUCAAUGAACCAAUGCCUGAUUACGUGAAUCCUUCGGAUCCGGUCCUGCGGUUGAGAAAUGUGCAGUUUGGCGAUCGUGGACUUUAUUCUUGUUUGGCACAAAACGGACUCGGUCUCGCUCAAGGCAGCGUCCUCAUCGAGGUUGAUCGCCGGGUGCCGCCGAGUGUUUCGAUUUAUCCGAAUACGACUCAGGUGGUUACAGCCGGUGAUAGGGUGAUGGUGCAAUGCAGAGUUACAGCAGGUGUUCCCAUGCCGGAUCUCAGCUGGAGACGAGUGGAUAACAGACCUAUAUCUCACCAAGCUUCUGUUGCCCGCGGUGUGAUAAGCCUGAUGGAAAUUCGUUUGGAAGAUGCAGGCGAAUACGAAUGUACGGCUGAGAACGAUGCAGGGAGGGUGACAUCAAUUGCUUCAAUUGUUGUACGUGAAUUACCAACAGUUCGCAUCAAUCCAUCUGAGUCAAUGUUGAAAGUCCAGCGUGGCGAAUAUGUACGCUUGGAAUGUACAGGCCACGGCUCGCCUCAACCGAGCGUUGAAUGGGUAGCGCACACGCGUAGAGAGUCAUUUUAUAGUGGUUUGUCUGGUCUCAGCCCUGAAAGCCAACACAGAACCUUCACGAAUCAUGCGGUGAAAGAAAUUACACAGGCAACCGAGGACGAUGAAGGUACUUACAUCUGUUCGGGUAGAAGCGACGCUGGAGUAAGUGAAGAGAGGAUUGAGUUAAUUGUCACCAAUGAUUUCCCAUCACGAGGUGAUAUUACCGGCAAUCGUACGCAAAGCAAAGAUGAAGAUCCUGGCGGUACCGGCGAGUCGCGUUUGAAAAAUAACGAGCCUCUGCGCCCCAUUCAGAAUAAAACGUUUAUCGUGCCAGCCGGAAACCGAGCGGAGCUGCGGUGUAACAUUGACAACAACGAAGGCGAACCGAUUCACACCACCUGGAUCCGAAUUGGCGGUAAACCCUUACCCACAAACUUUUAUGUUCAAAAUGGCACUUUGAUCUUGGACAAUACGCAUCCCACCGACGCUGGCGAGUACAACUGCUUGGGACGAUCGACCAUCACGAACAAGACUAUUUUCAGGGUAGUCGCGAACUUGAAAGUCUUAACGAUACCCCGAAUCAGAUUACAACCACCGAGGCAAAUUGUUCGUCCUGGAGCGGACGCUACCAUCGAAUGUAGCGCAACAGGCGAUCAACCCAUCAAUAUUACCUGGACGGGACAUAAUCGAGCAUUGUCUAAUAAUGUUUAUGCUAGGGAUGGUCUUUUGCAUUUCCGAGGUAUUCAACUAUCCGAUGCGGGCACAUACAGAUGCAGGGCUGUAAACAGUAUUGGAGAAGCUGAUGCUGUUGCGGAGGUUGUUGUCCAAGACGAUAACUCUCAACCACCAAAUACGAACAAACAUCAAAAUGCUCAAGUUGGGGACACAGUAACACUGACCUGCAACGCCGGAAAUUCACGGGUGUAUUGGUCAAAACACAACGCUCAAUUACCAGCCCAUCAUAGCCAGAGCGGAACGUACGGUGAAGAACUUAGAAUUUACAAUGUCUCCUCCGCAGAUAGCGGUGAAUAUUACUGUGAAUCAACGGCGCCAGGAUCACCGAGGCAAUUUGUCUCCCUGCACGUCGCAUGUGCACCAUUUUGUUCAUGUAAUUGUCCCUGUAUUUUAUGCAUGGACAACUUCAGGGUGCGGAAAGAAGCGCAGAAGCCAUCAAAACCGGAACUGGACAUUCACGCAUCAACACCAACGCCACGGUCGGGUGAUAAUGUGGAGAUCUACUGUAGAUCCAAUGAACCUGGCGUCAUUGUAAUCUGGACCAAAUUGAACGGACGCAAAGCGGACAACGUUAAAAUUAAUGGCGGACAACUGACAUUCCAUUCCAUCAGACCUGAAAACAACGGCGUAUACAGGUGUGAAGCGAGAGGAUACGAAGGAUUCUACCAUAAAGAUCACUUUAUUGAUGUGAGUGAUGAUAUGAACAACGAUAAUGUGAAUACAAAAACGGCAAUGGCGGGUUCAACGGUUGUACUGGCUUGUGAAACCCAAUUAGAUGCACCCGUAACUUUCACGUGGACCAAAGAUAAAGGCCUGUUACCUAAAGGAAUUGACAUACACAGCCACUCAAUACAAUUGAAAAAUGUUGGUGUUAAUGAUGCCGGUACUUACAUUUGCACAUCAUCAAAUCCUCAUAAAACUCUACAAGCAAAGAAUAUUUUGAUUAUUGAGGGCGUGGUUCCCUAUUUCACACAAGCACCAACCAGCUACAUUGAAUUGGUACCACUUCCCGAUUCGUAUCUUCAGUUCACCUUGGAGAUUUCAUUCAAGCCGGAGAAUCAUGAUGGUUUGAUCCUGUACAAUGGUCAUAAACGUAAUGCAUCCGACGGUGACUUUAUUUCCCUCGCACUGCGCAACGGUAUUCCCGAAUUCAAAUACAAUAUGGGUCAAAACUCCUCCGCUGUUGUCAAUAGUGAGCGACCAUUGACGAUGCACGAAUGGCACACUAUCAAGAUCAUUCGUAUGAGGAGAAAGGUAACCAUGUACGUUGAUGGCGAGGGACCAUUUACUGCUUUAGCCAGUAGUAAAUAUUCAUCUUUGUCACUCUCCGAACCCCUGUACUUGGGUGGUGUACCAAGCUUUGAUCAAAUUUCGCCAUUGGUGGGCAGCAACAAGGGAAUGGUGGGUUGUAUCGCUGCAUUCAAAAUAGGCCAUGCCAUCGUUGAUAUCUCUAGAGAAGCGAUUGGCAAGAAAGGUAUCACAAACUGCGAAACAUGCUCGGAAAAUCCUUGCGAAAAUCACGGAAUGUGCCAAGGAGCAUUAACCAAAGAAGGAUUUACUUGUAUCUGUCCGACAGGCAUUAGCGGCCCUACCUGUAACAAAAUCGGAGCAGAAUCUUGCAAUGCCCACACUUGUGGAGUCGGUUCAUGCGUCGAAACUGAUGAUAGCUAUCAAUGUAAAUGUCCGAUAGGUCGUGUUGGUAGGCAUUGUGAACGCACAGUCGAAAUCAUUGAGCCAGCGUUUUCAAAGAAUGCUUACAUUGCGUAUCCUACACCAAAUCAAGUUAGGCGUCUUAAAAUCUCAAUGAAAAUAAAGCCUAGAGAUACGAGUGAUGGUUUGAUUGCCUAUUGCGGUGAGACGGAAGAGGGAGAUGGCGAUUUUGUGAGUUUAGCAGUGAAAGACAGGCACUUACAAUUCAGAUUUGAUGUUGGCAAUGGCCCAGUGAUCAUCAAGAGUGAAAAUGAACUGGUACCUAAUAAAUGGGUCAUCAUAACAGCAAGCCGAUCAGUUAAUGAAGGACGAUUGAUUGUUAAUGGAGACAAUGUCGUCAUUGGCAAAUCAAGUGGUAUUCACAGAGCACUGCAACUUCGUACACCUUUCUUCAUCGGCGGUUACGAUACGGAGAAAAUCAAACUGAAUCAUGGCAUUGGUGUUGACGAAGGUUUCAAUGGCUGUAUUUCUGAAGUUAGUGUGUCUAGCUUGGAUAUUCAUCCAAUCCAUUCGGCCCAAGACGCUUCGAACGUUCAGGAUUGCAGUUCGGUAGAUGACGGAUUUGAUCAUGACUCAGAUAACGACGUGAGCGCAUUCGGGGACGUGCAGAGAUACGACACAAGAAAAACUGGCUGUUCCAGCAUCCCAUGCCGAAAUAACGGGCAGUGUUAUCCACUUUCACCUGUCGAAUAUAAAUGUUCUUGUGUUAAUGGAUUCAGCGGCGAUAACUGCGAAAUUCCACCAAAUCAGUGCGAUCAUUUGAGGCCCUGUCAAAACCAUGGUACGUGCGAGGGCACAUCAAGCCAAUAUGUCUGUCACUGUCCAAUGGGCUACACAGGAAUUAAUUGUGAACAUCCGGCAACAAUCAGAAAUGAUGCCAAUUUCAAUGGAAACGGAUAUAUUGAAUUUAGUAAGGACAGGCUAGAUCAUUCGAAUGACGAAAAAGAGGAGGUGAUUGCGUUGGAAUUAUCGACGAACUCCAGCAAUGGUCUGAUUUUCUGGCAGGGUCAGAGACAGUAUGAUACUUCUGGAGAGGAUUACAUCGCCUUAGCACUCGUGAAUGGAUAUUUGGAGUUCAGUUAUGAUUUGGGCAAUGGGCCAGCAAUCAUCCGCAAUGAGAAAGUACGUAUUGAUGAUGGUACUCGUCACAGAGUCAUUCUAAAGCGCAGUGGACGCGAAGGUUCCAUCGAAGUGGAUAGUGACUAUGUAGAACAUGGCGAAGCCCCAGGCAUUACCAAUCAAUUGAAUUGCAGUGGGAAUAUUUACUUAGGCGGAACUCCCAACAAUAGGGAAAUGACAAGAGACCGCUUUACCGAAAACUUCAAAGGAUGCAUCCACGGCUUUGAAUUGCAGGACUCCUACCUGCUGGAUAUGGGCAGCACUGCUAUAUCUGGCGUCAACGUGAAAGCUUGCUACCGUUGGAUUCCGUCCUCGUUAAUAUUCACAGAUUCCGAUCAAUUCGAUGAAAUCAUUCCGCCACCUCCCGUGAACAUAAUCCAUCCGAAACCUUCCUCGUCCGGCACCGCAACGCGCACCCAUCUACUCGAUUGUGCGUGUUGCUCUUUCCUUGGUUUGCUCACGUUGCUCUUGCUUUGACUAAAAAUCUAAGCGCAGGUGUGGUGCGAACUUGAUUGUUGAUUGUCCAUUUAAUGUUAUCCAGUUAUGUAUAUAUAUAACAUACAACUAAUGCCAAUUUGCCAAUUAAUGUAUUGCUGCAAAACCAUCUAUCAAAAAGCAAUUUAGCCAGUAGUCCUAAUCGUAAUGAAUGAGCAAUGAGAGUGAAGUGAGCGAUGAUGCAUAUCUUGUAAAUAUAAUUGCAAUGUUGAAGCUGUGUGUACUCAUUGUAAAUAGUCUAAUGUAACACGUAUACUAAUUAAUUUGUUAAGGGAAUUAUUAGACUGAUAUUGCUUAUAUUAUUAUAAAUAACGACUCUUAAUACUAACGCAAGUUUAACGCAAUGCUCGGAUUUAAUAAGACGGAGGAUUCCUAUAAUAGAAUAUAAGGAGAUAAUGAAAACAAUGAAACCGCGUAGCUCAUAUUAAUAUUUUUGUGUGUUCUUAUUUGUGUUCAGACCGAGACGAAAAUAAUUUGUAACGAAAUGUUAUCUGCAUGUUCAUUAGUUAUCUUAUCUUGAUGUUAACUAAUAUUUUAAUACUUAACUCCCAAAUUGGUACAUGAAAGAAUACUGUUACCAUCAAACAUACACAGUUACACAUCUUUACAACUGCCAUGGAUUUUUUUAAUACGCUAUACCAUAAUGUGUUUUCUUAUUAUAAUUUGAUGAUUAAUUGUGCCAUUUCAUAAUAAAUAAUUGUUAUAACAGCGCGUUAAGACCAAGUCAGUCCGCCAUUAUCUUACAGCCAUAUGUAAUGUAGAAACGCUCCUACUUUGUAAAAUCUUUAAUGCAUUAUAAUCAUGUGAUCGCGGAAUGGUAACACAAACGUAUCAACAAUGGUGAUUAACAAAUUAUAUAUAAAUAUAUAAAUAUAUACAUAUUUAAAUACAUAAACGAAAUGAAAUACUAGUUUAAGGUACAUAUAAAUAAUGAGAAUUUUAUUACCUUUGAACUUUAUAUUACGCUUUGCAAUCAGUUUCUGUUAUUAUUAUGUUAAAGACAUGCAUCUGUUCUUUGCAACGAAACUUUUGUUUAUACAUGGAGGCGAAUCUAGAAACGAACGUAACUCAAUUGCAUUAUUAUAGAUCUUGCAGUAAAAUGUAUGUUGAGGGCUUUGUGUAGUUUACUAAUUUCUGUACUUCGUAGGUGAAUGAAGUGACAAUGCCUUCAUACCGCAAUUUGUUGUUGUAAUUAACUGAAUAUGGUCAAGUGCAUUUUAAUAACAUGAAGACAAUAAUUAUGAUUAUUAAAUAAAUGUACAAAACGAACGAUAUACGUUACAGAAUCACAUUCAUCCAGAAAUAACACAAAUGCUUACGAAAUAAAGUUUAAUUUGAAUGCUACAAGAAAA